rnacentral:rRNA from 1 species
UAGAGGCCUACCAUGGUUUUAACGGGUAACGGGGAAUUAGGGUUCGAUUCCGGAGAGGGAGCCUGAGAAACGGCUACCACAUCCAAGGAAGGCAGCAGGCGCGCAAAUUACCCAAUCCCGACACGGGGAGGUAGUGACAAUAAAUAACAAUACGGGGCUCAUUUGGGUCUCGUAAUUGGAAUGAGUACAAUUUAAAUCUCUUAACGAGGAACAAUUGGAGGGCAAGUCUGGUGCCAGCAGCCGCGGUAAUUCCAGCUCCAAUAGCGUAUAUUAAAGUUGUUGCAGUUAAAAAGCUCGUAGUUGAACUUCGGGGUUUACCCAUUGGUCAGGCUUAAUUGUCUGUACUGGUGAGAUAAAUCUCUACCUUCUGAGGAACUUUCAUGUCAUUAAUUUGGUGUGAUUGGAAAUCAGGACUGUUACUUUGAAAAAAUUAGAGUGUUUAAAGCAGGCUAACGUCUGAAUACAUUAGCAUGGAAUAAUGAAAUAGGACGGAUUGAUUCUAUUUCGUUGGUUUCUAGGAUCACCGUAAUGAUUAAUAGGGAUAGUUGGGGGCAUUAGUAUUCAAUUGUCAGAGGUGAAAUUCUUGGAUUUAUUGAAGACUAACUACUGCGAAAGCAUUUGCCAAGGAUGUUUUCAUUAAUCAAGAACGAAAGUUAGGGGAUCGAAGACGAUCAGAUACCGUCGUAGUCUUAACCAUAAACUAUGCCGACUAGGGAUCGGACGAAG